GGCCCUGUAGUUGAAUUAUACAAUGUUAAACUGCAGAUUUAAAGGUGUGUCCCACCAGGGCUU
rnacentral:tRNA from 1 species